rnacentral:rRNA from 1 species
UACGAAGGGGGCUAGCGUUGUUCGGAAUUACUGGGCGUAAAGGGCUCGUAGGCGGCCAACUAAGUCGGAUGUGAAAUCCCCAGGCUCAACCUGGGAACUGCAUCCGAUACUGGAUGGCUUGAAUUCGGGAGAGGGAUGCAGAAUUCCAGGUGUAGCGGUGAAAUGCGCAGAUAUCAGGAGGAACACCGGUGGCGAAAGCGGCGCACUGGACCACAACUGACGCUGAGGCGCGAAAGCUAGGGGAGCAAACAGG